UUCCUCCACCUCCAAACCUGGCACGUCCUUAAAUGACCCUGGCUGUUAAUAGGAUAUUAAACAAAAAACAAACAAAAACAAACAAAUGACCUAUAGUCAUCUUACUUCAUCCGUCAUCGUCUGCCCUGCGUAAACUUUACACAUUUCAAACUUUUUCUCAAGUUCUACCAGUGGGAUUCAGCUCCUACUUACAUAUAUGUACCUCAAAUGAUCCUGAGAUAGUCCUGACCAAGCGUUGUUAUUUUUCGGGUACCUCUGAAAUCCAAGAUAGCUGCCAUGCCCAACAGUGCCACUGUACUUGCUACUGAGUAUAUGGCAAUGCCAGAACUGUAAUUAUUCCUGAAACUCCUCACCAGUAACCAGGACUGUAAUUAUUCCUGAAACUCCUCACCAGUAACCAGGACUGUAAUUAUUCCUGAAACUCCUCACCAGUAACCAGGACUGUAAUUAUUCCUGAAACUCCUCACCAGUAACCAGGACUGUAAUUAUUCCUGAAACUCCUCACCAGUAACCAGGACUGUAAUUAUUCCUGAAACUCCUCACCAGUAACCAGGACUGUAAUUAUUCCUGAAACUCCUCACCAGUAACCAGGACUGUAAUUAUUCCUGAAACUCCUCACCAGUAACCAGGAUUGUAAUUAUUCCUGAAACUCCUCACCAGUAACCAGGACUGUUAUUAUUCCUGAAACUCCUCACCAGUAACCAGGACUGUAAUUAUUCCUGAAACUCCUCACCAGUAACCAGGACUGUAAUUAUUCCUGAAACUCCUCACCAGUAACCAGGACUGUAAUUAUUCCUGAAACUCCUCACCAGUAACCAGGACUUAGGUUACAUUUAUGCAGUAUUUAUACCAAAUAUGGUGGUUUCUUGCCCCAGUCUUACAACCUAGUUUUGAAUGUCAAGGUUUGUGAAGGUCACAUAAAUAUAAAACAAAAAGGAAAUAUAAUUUUUGCAUUAUUUAAAGAAAUAUUGAAAUGAAUUAAAUAAAAUCAUCUGUUAGUGGGUAUUAAAACACAGGGGCUUGACAUGUUCCUAUGACCCAGAAUGAAAAAAACCAUAAAGUACAACCCAUAGAUCACUUAUUAUUGUCAGUUUUAAGUGAUCUAGAGGUCAGACCUAAUGCCUAAUGUUUCAUUCUGUGUUAUAGGAACGUGUCAAGCCCCUGUGUAUUAGAAGUAUUGCACUUCAUAUUUUUUUCCUGUAAUGAAUUUGAAGCAAAUAUUUUCGGUGAUUUAAGUAUUUCAUAUUGCUCCUGUAAUAAGCCACAGACCAUCAACUUAGAAUCGAUAAAGUGAUAGAUUUUAUUUCAGGACAGUGAAAAAGCCUAGGUAGCAGUUUUACUGAUUGCAAAAAGGCAGAAGAUAGAGUUGAUGAGACACAGGCUUAUUGCUGGAAAAAUAUGGUAUCUGUAUUGUGUUGUGUAUGUAACCGACUUUGUUUUUGUAAGCCUUAAAAUGAAAUGGCAUUACAAUAUGUUGGAAGUUAACAAUAUUCUGAUUAAACAUACCAUACAUGAAUUUCAAAAUCGGAACUUUUUUUUUUAAUCUGGAAGUUGUCUCCCUUUAAUGAUUACAUACUAACACUGUCUUCCAGUUUUGACUGUUUAUUAAUGGAAGAUAAAUCGUGUCUUAAGAUGUGAUGUUGAGUGUUUAUAAAGUUUAUAGUAUACAUAUUUUGUUAUUUCUCAAAGCUGCAUUGACCCUCAUCUAGUCUAGUUAGUUAAGGAACAUAAUUUCAUUUAAGCAUUGAUGUCAUUUUUUUUUAGUUUCAUCGGGGUAUGAAACAAAUUUUGUUUGCAAACUGUAUGAAUCCGCGUAGUUUGCAAACAAAAUUUGCUUCAUACCCCGAUGAAACUAAAAAAUAAUUGACAUCAACGCUUAUAAUUAAUUUUUGAAAAUGAUUUUCUAAUUUAAAACAUGUUUUAUGUACAAUUUUACUGAUUUUAUAUGGGAUUCUUUUUCUCAAAUCAAUACGCAACGUCAAUUGUCGUAUUGUGACGUCACAUUUUUCGCGCCAUUAUUUAUUUUUCUUUCAUAGAAGAAUGAAAAGAAUUUUUCGACCAAUCACAUUUGAGUAUUUACCAUGAAAACAAAGAAAAAUUAAUUAUACUUAUGUAAAACAGCAAAAAGGAUUAUCUAAGCAAUAGUUGUGUUAAUGUUAUUUGUAAAUUUAUUAAAACUGACAAGUUUGAUA